UACGGAGGGUGCAAGCGUUUAAUCGGAAUUACUGGGCGUAAAGCGUGCGCAGGCGGUUUUGUAAGUCUGUCGUGAAAUCCCCGGGCUCAACCUGGGAAUUGCGAUGGAGACUGCAAGGCUAGAAUCUGGCAGAGGGGGGGUAGAAUUCCACGUGUAGCAGUGAAAUGCGUAGAGAUGUGGAGGAACACCGAUGGCGAAGGCAGCCCCCUGGGUCAAGA
rnacentral:rRNA from 1 species